GGAGGACUCUGGUCGAGACCUGAUGAUUUAUCAGUUGUUUGAAGCUGAGUCCAUUCUGGCACCGGCAUUAUUACUAUGCUGAUGCAUCGGACUUGAAUUGCCUGUUUUCUUUCUUUUUUCCUAAGAUGACCCUUUUCAGUUGGCAAUGGAGCAGAGGAGCGGAGUCUUUGUAGGAAAUGCAUAUCAGACACAGAAGUACCCAGAAGGUCCAGAGCAUAUUUGGUUGGUAUCACAAAAGGUUCAAUAUCUCCUAUGUAUUUACCUUGUUUUCAUGGUUGACAAGUGGUCCUAUGCUAUCGUAGGAUUCAUCCCUAAAACUACACGAUCAAGUCCUUCAAUCGAAAUGAACCAGCCAUAGGCUUAAGCGAAGGGCCAUUUUUGCCAGCUUAUGCUUUGGAAUCAUGAGGCGUCAGAUUUCAAGAAAACCAUGUAAAGAAUUUGACUGAUUGCUACAUGAGUUGACUUUCGAUAUGACCAACUUAUAUUUGUAGUUACUUGAUCUGGGCUUCAUUUUUUCAUCUCUAAAAUGCUCUUUCAGGCUUUAUUUUCGAUGUAAAUCCCACCGCCAAAUUCCUUUGUUGAACUGUUCUUGAAAUGUUUGUUGCAUGUAAAUUGUAGAUGAUAACCAUUUUGGGUCGGUAGUACUGCGCUGGCAGCCCAGCCCGAAUAUUUUACACCAUAAAUCACAACAUUAAUUAUCUAAACUUGCAAUUUAUUUCAAGUGUUUUUCCAUGUUGGACUAAAAGAAAAGAUACCAAGUGAAACUGUAAGAAAUGGAGAAUGUCUUUUGAUUCCAUGGACGAUGGAAAAGGUGAUACCCUUUUUUGUAUAUGGGCUACUUUCUCGACCAGGUUCUGACUCUCACUACUACUUUACUGGAUACUCUGUAUAAACAAAUUAGUACUACUACUGAAAUUAAAAAGGGGGAGAAACUUAUCAGUACAUUAAAUAAUGGUAAGAUUGAAUUCCUUUUAGUAUCAUGUCUACUAUGUUACUGAGUAAUACUUAUAGUACUAGCAUUCUAUUCAUGGAAACCCCUUACGUCAAAGUUCCAUUAUAUUAUGAACUAAAGUGGAGUACUAAACUAAUGGACGAUGAAGUCCGGCUUAGUUGGUAAGACGUUUCUCCUCUAAGAGGUCAAUGAUUCGAGUCAUCACGGGUUUAGAUGGGGAACCAUUGUUAAAUUGUAGUAGUAUGAGAAUUAAUGAUGUUGAAAGGUUUACUAGUAUAAUUUAUAAUCAUGCAUCACACGAUCGAGUAAAAGCGUGCAUCGUUCCUCAGUAGAGUGUGUAUGAUGUUGAGUUUGAUGAACACAUGGAAAUAGUUGGCGACAGAGCUAGAAAACUGAAGGAUCGAAGAUUCUUUGAAGGGACUAAUUCAAAUAGAUU